AGUGAACGCUGGCGGUAGGCCUAACACAUGCAAGUCGAACGGCAGCACAGUAAGAGCUUGCUCUUACGGGUGGCGAGUGGCGGACGGGAGAGGAAUACAUCGGAAUCUACUUUUUCGUGGGGGAUAACGUAGGGAAACUUACGCUAAUACCGCAUACGACCUACGGGUGAAAGCAGGGGAUCUUCGGACCUUGCGCGAUUGAAUGAGCCGAUGUCGGAUUAGCUAGUUGGCGGGGUAAAGGCCCACCAAGGCGACGAUCCGUAGCUGGUCUGAGAGGAUGAUCAGCCACACUGGAACUGAGACACGGUCCAGACUCCUACGGGAGGCAGCAGUGGGGAAUAUUGGACAAUGGGCGCAAGCCUGAUCCAGCCAUACCGCGUGGGUGAAGAAGGCCUUCGGGUCGUAAAGCCCUUUUGUUGGGAAAGAAAAGCAGCAGGUUAAUACCCCGCUGUUCUGACGGUACCCAAAGAAUAAGCACCGGCUAACUUCGUG
rnacentral:rRNA from 1 species